rnacentral:misc_RNA from 1 species
AACGCAAAUUGCACUCUCUGGUAACCCGGGGAGUAUGCCUGUUUGAGGGUCAGUGUUAAUAAAAAUCGGUGCGUUGCAAUUUUUGUGAUGUUCCGGAGUUUGAGUUAUCUUAACUCUUCUGGGUUUUUAAGAGGCUUAAAAUUGACCUUUUUUGUGCAUUUUAGACGUACAUAAAAUUUUUUUUUAUUCGUUUAUCCUAAUGCCAAAAUCUAUUAGAUGCGACCAUAUCAUGUGGUUCCCGUGUUUAUAAAUUUUUCAUCAUUUGACCUCAAAUCAGGUAGGAACACCCGCUGAACUUAA